GACGAACGUUGGCGGCGUGCUUAAUACAUGCAGGUCAACUGAAGCAGUGGUAGCAAUAUCGCUGUGGAGGUGGCGCACGGGUGAGUAACACGUAGGUAAUCUGCCUUCAGGUCUGGCAUAACUCCGGGAAACCGGGGCUAAUAGCAGAUGAUGCAGCGGCUCGACAUCGAGACAGUUGUUAAAGCUAUGGCGCCUGAAGAUGAGCCUGCGUCUGAUUAGCUAGUUGGCGGGGUAACGGCCCACCAAGGCAACGAUCAGUAGCUGGUCUGAGAGGAUGAUCAGCCACACUGGAACUGAGACACGGUCCAGACUCCUACGGGAGGCAGCAGUAAGGAAUAUUGCUCAAUGGGAGAAAUCCUGAAGCAGCAACGCCGCGUGAGGGACGAAGGGCUUUUGCUUGUAAACCUCUGUAGUGAGAGAAAAAAAUCCCAAUCUUUGGGACAUGAUGGUAUCUCAAAAGUAAGCCCCGGCUAACUACGUG
rnacentral:rRNA from 1 species